AGCGGAGGAAAAGAAACUAACAAGGAUUCCCCUAGUAACUGCGAGUGAAGCGGGAAAAGCUCAAAUUUGAAAUCUGGCGGUCCUUGGCCGUCCGAGUUGUAAUCUAGAGAAGUGUUACCCGCGCUGGACCGUGUACAAGUCUCCUGGAAUGGAGCGUCAUAGAGGGUGAGAAUCCCGUCUCUGACACGGACUCCCAGGGCUUUGUGGUACGCUCUCAAAGAGUCGAGUUGUUUGGGAAUGCAGCUCAAAAUGGGUGGUAAAUUCCAUCUAAAGCUAAAUAUUGGCGAGAGACCGAUAGCGAACAAGUACCGUGAGGGAAAGAUGAAAAGAACUUUGGAAAGAGAGUUAAACAGUACGUGAAAUUGCUGAAAGGGAAACGCUUGAAGUCAGUCGCGUUGGCCGGGGAUCAGCCUCGCAUUUGCGUGGUGCACUUUCCGGUUGACGGGUCAGCAUCAAUUUCGGCCACUGGAAAAAGUCCUGAGGAAUGUGGCAGCUCCGGCUGUGUUAUAACCUCUGGUCGCAUACAGUGGUUGGGAUUGAGGAACUCAGCACGCCGCAAGGCCGGGUUUCGACCACGUCCGUGCUUAGGAUGCUGGCAUAAUGGCUUUAAGCGACCCGUCUUGAAACACGGACCAAGGAGUCUAACAUGCCUGCGAGUGUUUGGGUGGAAAACCCGAGCGCGCAAUGAAAGUGAAAGUUGAGAUCCCUGUCGUGGGGAGCAUCGACGCCCGGACCAGAACUUUUGGGACGGAUCCGCGGUAGAGCAUGUAUGUUGGGACCCGAAAGAUGGUGAACUAUGCCUGAAUAGGGUGAAGCCAGAGGAAACUCUGGUGGAGGCUCGUAGCGAUUCUGACGUGCAAAUCGAUCGUCAAAUUUGGGUAUAGGGGCGAAAGACUAAUCGAACCAUCUAG
rnacentral:rRNA from 1 species